CAGCCGCCGCGGUAAUACGGAGGGUGCAAGCGUUAAUCGGAAUUACUGGGCGUAAAGCGCACGCAGGCGGUCUGACAAGUCAGAUGUGAAAUCCCCGGGCUUAACCUGGGAACUGCAUUUGAAACUGUCAGGCUGGAGUCUUGUAGAGGGGGGUGGAAUUCCAGGUGUAGCGGUGAAAUGCGUAGAGAUCUGGAGGAAUACCGGUGGCGAAGGCGGCCCCCUGGACAAAGACUGACGCUCAGGUGCGAAAGCGUGGGGAGCAAACAGGAUUAGAUACCCCUGUAGUCCCUGUCUCUUAUAA
rnacentral:rRNA from 1 species